rnacentral:lncRNA from 1 species
CCUCGCCAUUGAUCAUACGCACAAUUUAUCCACCGUCACUUGAAUAACCCUAGAAAGAAGCACCGCAGUCAAUCUAUCAGUCAACUGUUGCUUUGCUUCCAGUGACAGACAAGCAAUAAAAUCCAAACUCAAAAGUCAAACCCAUUCCUAAACCAACCAGCUUCUUCAUCAACUCUUCGAGGACCGAUCCUCGCUCUCCAUCUUUCAUUUCAAUCGGUCCAAUAAAAUGCAAAUGGAAUCCGGGAAGCUUAUCUUCACCGUCGCCGCUAUAUUAGCCGGACUAUGGUUGACUCGUGUUGAACCCAAAUACAUAGCAUACAACACAACCUCGGGAAUUGUACCAGAUAAAAUCAAUGUGCAUUUGGUCCCUCACUCUCACGACGAUGUUGGCUGGUUGAAGACAGUUGAUCAGUACUUUGUCGGCGCCAACAAUUCCAUUCGAGUAUUUUUCCUUCCUUCUUCUCCUAUACCUUGUGCAUUCCUACCCUCGAUUAAUUAUUUACUUGUUUUGCACAGGGAGCGUGUGUCCAGAACGUCUUGGAUUCAGUAAUCGCAGCACUAUUAGAUGACAAGAACAG